CCCGCGCCCGGGUUUCCGUCGCCAAGGACGCGGCGUCCGUUGGUUGCCAAGAUGGCGGCGGCGUCUGCGGGGUCGCUGCCGCCCCCUCCGCCCGUGCCGGGCAAGGUCGUCGCUGCAGCCAUCGCAUCCGCCACAGCCACCACCGCAGCUGCACGGGAGCCGGGACGGGCGCGGCCAACCCCUCCGCACCCGUGACGCGAGGCCUGAGGGACGGAGUGGAGCGGGGGAGCGAAGGACGCCGGGGCUGCCAUGAGGGAGGCGGCGCUGAGGUGAAGGAUGCUGGCCUGGAGGCCUGGAGCCCGGAGCGUGGGCUCUGGACGGGGCCCCGCGUCGUCGGACGCCCGCGACGGAGCCGCCCUCAGCCCCCGCUUGGGCCGCGGGCGCUGCCGGCCUGCCGCCGACCUAGAUAUGAAAAUGCAUCUGGAGAAAAAUCUAGAAGAGGAGCGUCAGAUAUUACUGCAGCAACAAAAAAUAUGUCGAAUUCGAGCACGUAAAUAUUUUGUGGAAUCAAACCGGAGAAAAAAAGCUUUUGAAGAAAAACGAAAAGAACAAGAAGAAAAAGAACAACAAAUCAGAGAACAAAUACUUCAACAAAGAAAAGAGAAGUUUGAAGAAAUCACUGAAAAAUUCCAGCGUGCUUAUAUUCCUCUUUCACAACGGAGGAGAGCAGUUUUUCAAAAACGAGUUCCUCUGUUGGAAGAAGCCCUCAAGCAAAUUCAAGAAUCCAAUUUAAAAUCAGAAGUAAACCUCCUCCCUUCCUACAGACCAACAAUAAAUUGGAGAGCUAUAGAUAAUGCCUUGCCUUCAGCAUUGUCAAAAAAUGAUCACAAGCAUCAGAAACAUCUCUUAUCCAAAAUCAAUUGUGGUAAAGAAUUGAAGGAAAACAACAGGGCAAACUUGACUACUAACAAAGAUGCGUUCCAGCUUAAACUGGAAGAAACUCAGAAACUCCUAGAAGAUCAGCAUCUAAGCAGUUUGCAAAUAUUUUGUGAUGAAGUUAAUCAACUAACAAAUUCUGAAACCCUCUCGAGUAUAGACAGCCUUGUGGCUGGGGAACAUGAAGAAAUAUACUUAACACUUGAGGAGCUCUGCAUAUCCAGCCAGAAGAGCUCCAUUUCUCCCAAACCAGUCAAUCUGCAGGCAGCUAAUCUGAGCGGUGGUGGUGAAGAGGAACUGUCAUUCUCUAAGACUCAGCGUAUAAACAACUGGCUCGUAAACGUAAAUGACCCAAAGACUGAGACUGUCCCAUCUGUCUCAGAUACUUUAAGCAAAGCGAAUGUGCUGCCUUCUUGUGAAUGUCUGAACGGCGAGGACCAAAGUGCGCCUGCGGAGAGGGUGACAGAGCGUGCUGACCAUUCAGUAGCCUCGGUGUAUAGCCACCCCGCAUACCGAAGCGAUGGAAAAUGCACAAAGGUCUCCGAAACGAGCGCUGGGAGAGCGGCCGACUCCUGCUCCGGCACAUUCAAAAGGGAGAGACCCUUUGUUACUGAGAGCCCAACGUUUAAAUUCAGCAGAGUGGGGACCGCUGCGGACCGUCUCACACGGGAGCCGGCGACGUUUGCAGACCGCGGCGGCGCUUGUGCAUUAGCAGCAGAGAGCGCGGCCGCUUCGUGUGUGCCGGUGGCUACCUGCACAGCUCUGCCCUGCGGCGGGCCGGCGGCUAGGCCCUCGCCGGAGAGCAGCCGGCGAAGACCGCUGGGCCCGGCGCAGUGUUCGGACAAGUUGGGAGGCUUGCCCGAGGUCAGAGAGGACACGUUACAGGACGUUCCCCGUGAUAAGGCGGACCCGCCCUUGUUUUCAGCCGGAGUCCCGGUUGCCUGGGUCCCUCCCCGCUCAGCUUCGGACAGUGGGACACACGCAAGAGCCCAAACACCAGCCUGGGGGUGUUCGGUCGCCGCUAAGUGUGACUCUGUCGGGCCGCCCAGGACUGGGAAGCACAGCGCGCACGAGAGGGGCGGCGGGGUCUUCCUCAAGAGCAUCUUGAAAAAAGAAUCGAAGUGCGAGCGCGGCCGUUUUAAGGCGCUGGUGGUCAACCACAGCGGCAGGUGCGGCGGUCCGAGGGCGGCUCUCCGAGACAGCGCUGAAUUAGCGCAAGAGAAAGCUACGGAAACCGCAAAGACGGUUAAAAAACUGAGGUGGUUUGACGAACCUGGAGACCCCGCGGGCCAGGCGCUGAAGAGCAGGACGGAGCCGUGUCCACAGCGGGGUCCGUCUUUCCGCCCUCAGCCACGCAGGGGAGCUGCGUGCCGGGGGGCAGCGCGGCCACAGGAGGACGGCAUCUCCGAGAUGGCCGCCGCCCCCGGAGCACCUGCCGCAGCCCCGGUGCCUUUCACCUGUUUCGUGCCUUCCGGCUGCGAUGCGGCCAAACGAGCCUUGCCGACCUCAGGGAAGGGGGGACGGCUACCCCCGCGGCCCCGGGGGGGCUCUAAAGCUGAGACGGCGAGGCCGCGCGGUGCCGGGGCCCGCAGGAGAACGAGAUCGGCCCCCGCGCAGGGCACGCUGUCAUGCGCGCUUGGAAGGGACGCCGUGCCCCGGCCGCGCUCGGCGGGCAGAGCCCACGGCCCCUGGGCAGCUCAGGGUGCACCGCCUGUGCCUCCGCCUCCGCCCCGCAGCACGAGCUGCAGAAGCCCGUGGGCGUUUGGCGGCCCCGCAACGCCGCAUGGAGACCCCCAGCCGGUGACUGCGCCAGGCUGCCUCCGCGCCAGCCCCGUGCUUCCCCCGGAGCGCGGCGGGCUCGGCGCGUGGGGUCCGGAAGGUGGCGGGCCGCUCGCACACAUGCCUUCGGGGCCCGGGCCUACGAUGCCUUCACCGCGUGGUUCGCGCCGCCGGACGCGCGCCGAAGCAACCGGCUCCGGCGGCUCCAGGGCCCGUCCUGCCCGCGGAGACGCCCGCCGCCCGCCGCCCCUCAGGGCCGUCCCGGAGGAGUCCGUUCCCCGACGGAAGGCGCCGAGUGACGCGCGCGGCCGCAGGGAAGCGGAUGCUGGUAAGCGCGCGUGUCCGUACCGAACGCGCAGCAGCGGCGCGGUGCUCCCGGCGGACCCCACACGGAACGGGGACCCGGCCGCGCAGAAACAGGCCUCCGCACCGUCUGUCCUUGUCUCUGCCAGGGUCUUUCCUUUUCCGGGAAACACGGGGUCAGCUGCCUCGUUACACGCCAGUGAGCCGCGCGCCGGCCCUCCGGCUCCUGCCCCAAGCCCCGGCCGCGCUCCGCCCAGCCCUUGUGCGCGGGUCUGCCUGCGCGCAGGCUCUCCUGUUGUAAGAAGAAAGCAAAUUGUUGAAGAUAAGCAGAGAAGCCUUUUAGAACAGAAAAGACAAAACCCUGCAUCUGCAGGAAAGAAGUGUGGCGAGUGCACAAGUAAUUUGGAGCAAAGUGCCCAGCCAAGUUCAAGUGAGCCAAAACAUACUACAAGGUGUACUUCUGAUGUUGAAGAAGUUUCAGAUAGUACUUCUCAGUUUUUGAUGGCUGAAAACCUAGUGAAAGCUUCAGUGCCUGAGGAUGAAAUUCUCGCUGUCAUGAACAGCAGGCAGCUACAGAAACCACAUCUGGCUGUAAAUAAGACCCAGCCACUCAACGUCUGUGCACUCCUGGCCGCAGAACAGAAGCUCCUCCAGUCCCUUAGUCACCUCAAUGAGAGGUUCCACUAUGUACAAGAAGCCAUUUGCAAGAAUCCAUCCAUCAGAAAUACCUUACAAAUAAUACCACUUCUGAACAGCCGGUCGAGAGGCAGCCUGUCCCCGGGGGUCGGAUCCAGGCUGCAGAGGAAGUACUGAUGGACCGCAGUGGCAAGCAUGACUGUUCUCGCGGCCAUUGACAAUGGCCUGUAAAUAGAGCAUAGAUUUCCGCAUUUGUUAAGGAUUUAAAUACUACAACCAUAAGAUAAAGGACUGGACGCACCUGUCUGUCAGCACUGUUCCCAGGAAAGCAAGCGAGCCACUGGACUGCUCCUGAAGUGGUGUCCCAACCUGGGUUUGGAGAGCAGCGAGGUCCAGGCAGGGCUCCGGGGAGAGCCAGCUCUGCGCUCAGGUGCAGGAGACCUGGCGCUGCUCCCUGGGGUAGAGCACACCCUCGUCCCUCCUGGAGCCCCAGUGCCGGGAGCAGCUGCAGUGAUGGAAGUAGACGUGAACUAGAAAUGUCUGUUGAUGAAACCUCUUGCAGUAACUUAGCCUGGCCUGGGAGGUGAGGGACCACACCCUGCCACAUAGGGCAUGUGCUGUUACUUCACCCCAACCGACAGCCCAAGAGCCAUGUGUUCGUCGCCGUUGACAGAGGAGCGCAGAGGCUCAGAGAUGAGCCCGCCCCCCACCGGCCCGCCCCUCAGGGUCAUGUUGCGGCAUCGCGGUGCACACCCAGGUAAAGCUACUGUGAACGUGCGGUGCAGGUGUGUCCGAGGUGGUCGUUCUGUCUACUUCAGAUGAGUUCCCGGAUGUGGAAUUGGCAGAUCCUCAUGAAAGAGAAGAAAAAAAUAAUUACAGAAAAGUGAAAGCUGUAUUUAUUGGAAAUCAACUCAAAGCUACAUGACUGAUGUGUGCAUUCAAGCAACAGACCGUCCUGAACACCUCUUAAGUCAUCACUGUGCCUGGGGCUUCAGACCAGCAGAGACCCCAUCCAGUCCAGCUGUCGGUACAUGUAGAGCCUUUGAGCUCUUAAGGGCUCGUCUACAAGCAGUUGCAGCAGAGUAUGGUCAGCGGUACAGCAGGAGUAACCCAGAUGGCAUUUCCCUAAUAGAAUCUUUGCUCAUGGAACCCUGACUUGUCUGGCUCUAAGAGGACCCAGUGCCAAGGCAGGAUGAAAUCCCCAGGGUGCUGAUAAGGACUGCAGCUGAGCACCAGGCCUCGGAAGCGCUGGUCAGGACCAGUGUAGAAGGGACGGCUGUGAGAAGAUGAAAGGGAGAGGAAACCACCGCGCUCCAGCACUCUUCCCUUGUACUCUGGCUGAGUGAGAGCUAGCAAGAAUGAAAGAUGGAUGACUUUUUAAUAACCAAGAUAAGUUGGGCAAGACAAAAACAUAUUCAUAGUAUACUACAUGACAACAGCAAAAAUAUAUAUUUACCUAGUCAUAAGACUGCAAUUAUUAAAUAUUAACAUAAAAAUUA